rnacentral:rRNA from 1 species
ACUCCUACGGGGAGGCAGCUAGUGGGGAAUAAUUGCGAACAAUGGGCGCAAGCCUGAUGCAGCCAUGCCGCGUGUAUGAAGAAAGGCCUUCGGGUUGUAAAGUACUUUCAGCAGUGAGGAAGGUGGGUAUGUUAAUAGCAUAUUCAUUUGACGUUAGCUGCAGAAGAAGCACCGGCUAACUCCGUGCCAGCAGCCGCGGUAAUACGGAGGGUGCGAGCGUUAAUCGGAAUUACUGGGCGUAAAGCGCAUGCAGGUGGUUUGUUAAGUCAGAUGUGAAAGCCCGGGGCUCAACCUCGGAAUUGCAUUUGAAACUGGCAAACUAGAGUACUGUAGAGGGGGGUAGAAUUUCAGGUGUAGCGGUGAAAUGCGUAGAGAUCUGAAGGAAUACCGGUGGCGAAGGCGGCCCCCUGGACAGAUACUGACACUCAGAUNCGAAAGCGUGGGGGACAAACAGGAUUAGAUACCCUGGUAGCUACGAGU